UUAAACCCAAAGAAUUUGGCGGUACCUUAUUCUAUUUAGAGGAACCUGUCCCAUGAUUGAUAGUUCACGAUUAACUUUACUUAAUCUAUUUGUUUGUAUAUCUCCGUUAUUAGAAAAUCUUUUUAGAGUUUGAAUUUUCAAGAUUUAUGAUUAUAUAAUAUUUCAGGUCAAGGUGCAGCUUAUGAUUAAGAGGAGGUGGGUUACAAUAAAUUUUUGUUUAUUACGGAUUAUUUUUUGAAAUUUUAUAUUAAGGUGGAUUUAAUAGUAAAUUAAUUAAUUUAAUUUAAUUGAUAUUAGCUCUGAGGUGUGUACACAUC
rnacentral:rRNA from 1 species